rnacentral:misc_RNA from 1 species
AAGUCGUAACAAGGUUUCCGUAGGUGAACCUGCGGAAGGAUCAUUAACAACGUAUCCACGUUACCCACCCAGUGAACUGUUGUUGACUCUCCCUAGGAGCACGCCCGAAGAGGAGCGCCCGUGCAGGCAGAGUGGGAUCGGCAACGAUCACACUGCACAGGCGUCAUCGAGUGGACGCACGUCCACGCAACUCUUGUAGUCGGCCCUAGGUUCCCAGUUGCCGCGUGCAGCAGCCUCUCUGGCUUGCACGUGGUAGCGCCAUCUACUAACUUAUCUCACCCCCUUUUGCUAGUUGACUUUAUCUAUGUUAUAUGUGGAUUCGUCCUCGUAUACACGUUUCUUAAUUGAACCAUAAAAACAACUCUUAGCAAUGGAUAUCUUGGUUCUC